UAUGAUGAAUGCUAAUCAUUUUCAAAAAAAAAAAAACUGCUUGCAUGAGACUGUCUGAAGUAGCUCCGGGGAACCUGCCCCCAGUUGUUUCUGAUUGGUAAAUAAAGAUGUCAGCAGCCAAUAGCUGGAGAGGACAGACGGGGGCAGGAUUUUAGGAUUUCCUGGUCUUGGGACCAGGAGAAGGAGUAGAUCCACCACGUGAGGAGAGUGUGGAGGAGAGGAGAGACCCAGGCCUGAGAGGAGUGGAGGACAGAGAGCUGUUGUUAAACAGUUUAGAACCAUGGACUGUUUCUUCAAGAAUCGCAUUGGGGAGCAUGGAGGAGGUCUUCAACUACCCACCUGCAGCCUAAAUCUCCCACAGAAGGCCUCUCUGAGCUUCCAGUCACAACCGUAGUCAAGCUAAGGACAAUCACUGCUGAGGUCUUCCUUGACUUUCUGGACCACUCCACGGCUUCCUCCUCUUACGAGCAAUUCCCUUGCUUAUACAUCUUUCAAAUGCGGUACUCAUAUUCCAAGGACUUCACCAGCACACUGUAGAAGGAUGGAGAUGCGCGACAACCAGGGUGUGUGUGUGACUGCAAAAGAAAAUUAUUAAAAGUGUAACUACAAGGACA